AGUUAAUAGGCAAGCUAGGUUAACAUGUUAGUGAAGUCUGUCUACAUUUCUUUGUCCACCCCAGGAGGGAGGAGACGUCUCCAAGGUAAACAAUGAAUGAGUCAUGUAUGACAGUAUGACGUCACGUCGCGGUUCAGCGAUUUCACAAUGGCGGCCAAGAGGGAAGAGUAAACGCUCGUGUUUAUCUUCCCGUUUUCCCCMAAAAAAUCUCAAAGAUAUUGCUUUAUGAACCAGUCAUAUGGUACCUUUCCAAGAGCCAYUCGAAAAAAGACGACACACAAGAAUAUUUUAAGACCUUGAUGACUUAAAGAUUUGAUCUAUGGCAUCACAAAAGGAGGUUAAGGAACCUAGGUAUUCAUCUUUGUAUUUGCGGAGUUUCGUGAAGAAACCUUUUGCACAACUGCUCAUCAAUCUGUUUGAAGUUGGRAAAACGUUCCCUUUGGUUUGACACCAUGUUUUGCACAAAUCAUAAGUCAACAAGGCAGACUUGCAAAAGGUUGGGCGAGCUCAUAUUUAAUAUUGGUUCUUUUUAACUCAAAUGUUAAACUGGCGUGUUUCGCGAUUAAAUAUAUGAAGUUUAAUAAAUAGGAAAGGAAAGUGUAUUUGAAAGUUGUUGUGGUUGUUUUUCAUAAUUCGAGCGAUUUCUAAGUAUCAACGAGUAGAUAUCAAUGUCACUGAAAUUUUCCUGUGAUGCAUAAUGUUUUUAUAAUCUCUAYGAUUGCUGCACAAGUUGUUAUAUCAGGACCAGGGUGUUAUGUCAGGGCUCCCACUUAACACUCAGAGAUGCAGGCAGAGAUGAAAACAACUGAGCAACAAAGACAAACAUUCAUACAAAAUAGAUGAUUCAACCAUAAACUAUUACUAGAUUUAAAAUAAGAAGUCAAGCAAAUAAAAGGACAUGGGGAAAA